CCCCCCCCCCCAUUGGAGCUGCUUAUGCAGUGCAAGUCCUUAUCAACACAGAUUGACGAGUUGGACAUCCUGCUCAGGAUGGAGGAAGAGGACAAACAUUUGUGCUGUUUGGAAAGUUUUUGGCAAGACCAUUCUGCAAGUCCAGUUUACGAUGAAAGUAAUCAACUUUCAGAACGGAAAAUGGAAGAGAAGGUUAUUGAAAAAAUGCUCCGGGACCAGUGGGAACUCAAUGACAAAUUAAUGUUGUCUCAAGGACUUAUUCACCAACGUAAUAUGCAGUUAAGAGCUCAAAUUACAGAGUGUCGACUUUCGAACAUGUCCAGUGAGGAGGAGUUGAAAAAUUUACAAGCGGAAUACAGUAAAAUGAAAAUGUAUGGGGUAAUUAACAUAGCUUCUGAAAAAGAGGACCUUCGCCUUACAGAGAAGCUUCUUCAGAUUAUUGACUGUGAGGAAGAUAGAAGAUCGACAAUAACCUCUACCUUGUUCAACAAUCCCACCAUCAUGCAAAUCAUUGGCCUGUUUUGCCAAGUUGUUUUGCAGGUUCUACCUGCGAUACUCGGUUGCCUGGCUGCUAUCUUCUGCUUUUUUUGCCUCUCCUUUCACACAACACUUGUAAUAAUCUUUAUGUUGACGGACUGUGCUUUGUUAAAGCUGCUUCUGACAAAUUGAAAUGAGAGCAUCUUAUACUUCAGGAGUUCAGAUGCCAAAAUAUGUGGUGCACGCCAGUUGUAAUUGGUUGGAGGAGAAGAAAUGGGUUGGGAGACAAGAAGGAUAUAUAUGAGAAGAACUUUUCACUGUGAUAAUGCUGAAAACAAAAUCCCUUGACCCAGUGGCUAAAAAAAGAAAAAGGACAUUUUUCCCCCACAUUGAAGCAGCUACUUGCCAUCAGGAAGUAAGAAACUAUCAAUUGGUUGCUAUUGUCAUUCUAAUGCACCAUUCUCGAGAUGAAAACAUUGGAUAAGUACGUGCUGAAUGUUUAGCACCUCAAAUGAGUCUGUGGAUACCAUAAAAUAUAUUAACAUUAUCUUCACAACACAAAACAUUUAAAUAAAACUUGAAAAGGAAAUCUCAAGCUGCGUUAG
rnacentral:lncRNA from 1 species